CGCAAGCCUGACGGAGCAACGCCGCGUGAGGGAUGAAGGCCUCUGGGCUGUAAACCUCUUUUAUCAAGGAAGAAGAUCUGACGGUACUUGAGGAAUAAGCCACGGCUAAUUCCGUGCCAGCAGCCGCGGUAAUACGGGAGUGGCAAGCGUUAUCCGGAAUUAUUGGGCGUAAAGCGUCCGCAGGCGGCCUUGAAAGUCUGUCGUUAAAGCGUGGAGCUUAACUCCAUUUCGGCGGUGGAAACUACAAGGCUUGAGUGUGGUAGGGGCAGAGGGAAUUCCCGGUGUAGCGGUGAAAUGCGUAGAUAUCGGGAAGAACACCAGUGGCGAAGGCGCUCUGCUGGGCCAUAACUGACGCUCAUGGACGAAAGCCAGGGGAGCGAAAG
rnacentral:rRNA from 1 species